AUCGAACGCUGGCGGCAGGCCUAAUACAUGCAAGUCGAGCGGAGCGGCUGACGGGUGAGUGAUGCCUAGGUAUCUGCCUGGCAGUGGGGGAUAACGUCCGGAAAGGGGCGCUAAUACAGCAUACUAUCAGCUGAGCCUAGGUCGGAUUAGCUAGUUGGUGGGGUAAAGGCCUACCAAGGCGACGAUCCGUAAGUGGUCUGAGAGGAUGAUCAGUCACACUGGAACGGAGACACGGUCCAGACUCCUACGGGAGGCAGCAGUGGGGAAGAUUGGACAAUGGGCGAAAGCCUGAUCCAGCCAGGCCGCGUGUGUGAAGAAGGCCUUCGGGUUGUAAAGUACUUUCAGCGGGGAGGCGGUACCCGCAGAAGAAGCACCGGCUAACUCCGUGCCAGCAGCCGCGGUAAUAC
rnacentral:rRNA from 1 species